UACAGAGGUCCCAAGCGUUGUUCGGAUUCAUUGGGCGUAAAGGGUGCGUAGGUGGCGUGGUAAGUCGGGUGUGAAAUUUCGGAGCUUAACUUCGAAACUGCAUUCGAUACUGCUUUGCUUGAGGACUGGAGAGGAGAUUGGAAUUCACGGUGUAGCAGUGAAAUGCGUAGAUAUCGUGAGGAAGACCGGUGGCGAAGGCGGCAUCCUGGACCAACACUGACACUGAGGAGCGAAAGCCAGGGGAGCAAACGGG
rnacentral:rRNA from 1 species